GAAGCGGGUGGAGCAGGCCGGAUUUGCGGUGCUCAAAUCACCGGAUGUGCCGUCGAUCCUGGUCGAGACCGGCUUUA
rnacentral:tRNA from 1 species